AAUCAACGCUGGCGGCGUGCCUCAGACAUGCAAGUCGAACGCGAAAGUCCCCUUCGGGGGGACAAGUAGAGUGGCGCACGGGUGAGUAACACGUAGGUAAUCUACCUUUGGAUGGGGAAUAACAAUCGGAAACGGUUGCUAAUACCGCAUAAUGCAGCGGCACCUAAUGGUGACAGUUGUUAAAGCGGGGGAUCGAAAGACCUCGCGUCUGAAGAGGAGCCUGCGGCGGAUUAGCAGGUUGGUAAGGUAAUGGCUUACCAAGGCUACGAUCCGUAACCGGCCUGAGAGGGGCGGUCGGUCACACUGACACUGACAUACGGGUCAGACUCCGUACGGGAGGCAGCAGUCGGGAAUUUUGGGCGAAUGGGCGAAAGCCUGACCCAGCAACGCCGCGUGAAGGAUGAAAUCCCUCGGGAUGUAAACUUUCGCAAGAACAGAAGAAUAAGUAGGGACGAACACCCCCUACUGAUGACGGUA
rnacentral:rRNA from 1 species